rnacentral:rRNA from 1 species
AGUCGAACGAACCUUCGGGUUAGUGGCGAACGGGUGAGUAACGCGUGGGAAUCUGCCCUGGAGUGGGGAACAACAGUUGGAAACGACUGCUAAUACCGCAUACGCCCUGAGGGGGAAAGGCUUCGGCCGCUCUUGGAUGAUCCCGCGUCUGAUUAGCUUGUUGGUGGGGUAACGGCCUACCAAGGCGACGAUCAGUAGCUGGUCUGAGAGGAUGAUCAGCCACACUGGGACUGAGACACGGCCCAGACUCC